ensembl:lncRNA
CACGGUGAAAUGCAAACAUUGCAACUGUCCCCCUCCCUCUCUCUCUCUCUCUCUCUCUCUCUCUCUCUCUCUCUCUCUCUCUCUCUCUCGCUCUCUCUCUCCCUCUCUCUCCCUCCCUCUCUUUCUCUCUCUCUCCCCGUCUCUGAUGUUUUCUUUGCAGUGGUGUGAUGAAGAUCCAGAGGGUGUGAAAGUGUGUGUGUGUACGCUCAGUGUGUCUCCUUCUGAGGUACGGCAGUCUCUGUGUGUGUGUGUGUGUGUGUGUGUGUGUGUGUGUGUGUGUGUGUGUGUGUCCUCUCCUGAGGUACUGCAGUGUGUGUGUGUGUGUAAGCUCAGUGUGUCUCAUUCUGAGGUACGGCAGUUUCUGUGUGUGUGUGUGUGUGUGUGUGUGUGUGUGUGUGUGUGUGUGUGUGUGUAAGCUCAGUGUGUCUCCUUCUGAGGUAUGGCUGUGUGUGUGUGUGUGUGUGUGUGUGUGUGUGUCCUCUCCUGAGGUACUGCAGUGUGUGUGUGUGUGUGUCCUCUCCUGAGGUACCGCAGUGUGUGUGUGUUUGUGUGUGUGUGUGGUAGUGCAGUGUGUGUGUGUGUGUGUCUCCUCUCCUGAGGUACUGCAGUGUGUGUGUGUGUGUGUGUGUGUGUGUGUGUGUCCUCUCCUGAGGUAAUGCAGUCUGUGUUCUCCUGCUCUGGCCCACUUUGGCUCAUCAGGACCCAGAGUGGCCUAGUUUGGCCAGAGCUUCACAUCAGACACACACACACACACAAACACACAAACACACACACACAGGCAGAACACUGACCAAGCCAAACAGACUUUCACACACAGGCAGAAGACUGUCUCUUUGCUACACAUGCACACACUCACACAUAUAGCCUACACACACACACACACACACACACACACACACACGUAGCCUACACACAUACACACACACACACACACAUAGCCUACACACACACACACACACACACAC